rnacentral:lncRNA from 1 species
CUUACUCUGUUGUUCCCACAUUGCUGCAUAUUAGUCCUCAACCUUACUCCCUGAUAUGUGUCCACAUGUGCAGCCAGCAGUUUCUACCAUAAAAAGCCACAGCAGCUGCUAUAGAUAAAUACAAGAUCUGCCUUGACUGUUCUGAUCUCCAUGACCAAGAGUCCACUCAUGGCAUUGAGCUGGCCACUACACAUCCUUACAAGCCAACCUCAAGCAACUCUUGACAUUAACCGCCUAACUGCCAAUGACAAGAUAACCGGUGAAUUUUUGGCAAUUUCUGCACAUGUGUGUGUGUUCAGUUUCUUGCAAUUUUUACAAGAAAAUUGUACAGAAUGA